rnacentral:rRNA from 1 species
UACGUAGGGGGGCUAGCGUUGUCCGGAUUUAUUGGGCGUAAAGAGCGUGUAGGCGGCCAGGUAGGUCUGGUGUGAAAACUCGAGGCUUAACCUCGAGAUGUCAUCGGAAACCAUUUGGCUAGAGUCCGGAAGAGGAGAGUGGAAUUCCUGGUGUAGCGGUGAAAUGCGCAGAUAUCUGGAGGAACACCGGUGGCGAAGGCGGCAUCCUGGACCGACACUGACGCUGAGGCGCGAAAGCUAGGGGAGCAAACGGGG